GAAUUGACGGGGACCCGCACAAGCGGUGGAGCAUGUGGUUUAAUUCGAAGCAACGCGAAGAACCUUACCAGGCCUUGACAUCCCACUGACAGGUCCUUAACCGGGCCCUUCCUUCGGGACAGUGGAGACAGGUGGUGCAUGGUUGUCGUCAGCUCGUGUCGUGAGAUGUUGGGUUAAGUCCCGCAACGAGCGCAACCCUUAUCCUUAGUAGCCAGCAAGUAAAGUUGGGGACUCUAGGGAGACUGCCAGGGACAACCUGGAGGAAGGCGGGGAUGACGUCAAAUCAUCAUGCCCCUUAUGGACUGGGCUACACACGUGCUACAAUGGUGGCGACAAAGGGAAGCGACCCUGUGAAGGUGAGCGAAUCCCAAAAAAGCCAUCCCAGUUCGGAUUGUAGUCUGCAACUCGACUACAUGAAGCCGGAAUCGCUAGUAAUCGCGAAUCAGCAUGUCGCGGUGAAUACGUUCCCGGGUCUUGUACACACCG
rnacentral:rRNA from 1 species